rnacentral:other from 1 species
GCGAGCCCGGGCCGGGAGGAGCCGCAGUCGGAGGAGGGGGAGGAGGAAGAAGAGAAGGAAGAGGAGAGGGGGCCGCGGUGGCGACUCGGCGUUCGGGAGCCGGGCUCAUGGACGGGUGAGGCGGCUGUGUGCGCAGACAGAGCUCCAGCCGCGCGCGCGCCCCAGGCCCCGGCCCCGGCCCCGGCCCGGGCCUCGGCUCCGGGAGGAAGAGGAGCCCGCCUAGGCGCCGAGGAGAGCGGGCCGCCCCGCAGCCCGAGCGGGAGAGGGAGCGCGAGCCGCGCCGGCCCCGGCCGGGCCUCCGAAACCAUGAACUUUCUGCUC